UACGUAGGGAGCGAGCGUUGUCCGGAUUUAUUGGGCGUAAAGAGCUCGUAGGCGGUUUGGUAAGUCGGGUGUGAAAGCUCCGGGCUCAACUCGGAGAGGUCACUCGAUACUGCCAUGACUGGAGUCCGGUAGGGGGGGUGUGGAAUUCCCAGUGUAGCGGUGAAAUGCGCAGAUAUUGGGAGGAACACCAGUGGCGAAGGCGGCUCACUGGCCCGGUACUGGACGCUGAGGUGCGAAAGCGUGGGGAGCAAACAGGG
rnacentral:rRNA from 1 species